rnacentral:sRNA from 1 species
AUUAACAUAGUUUGUUAACCCACGUCACGUCAUGUCUUUUUUUUUGUCAUCCGAAAAUUAAUUAGGGCUCAAACGAGCCAAUCCUGAAGAAUGAUGUUUACAUAUGUAAUAUGAAGCGGUUGGGUACAAAUUUUUCGUGCCAAAAUAUCUGGUUUAAUAUUAGCACUACGAGAGAUGAAAGAUAGAGAAAAGCUUGUGAACUCAUCCUUGUCGCUCUGUAACUCUUCCAAAUAUGAUGAGAAAGUCGGCUAUAGCACUUAACGUCAUGUCUAAUAUGACUAAUUCAACGAAAGUUUGGUAUUUAUUUGGAAAGUCAACAUAAAUUUGAUAUUUAUUUCAUUUUGUCGUGAAUUGAGUAUUUAAGUUAACGUUUUCAAUAAGUUGAGAACUUUAAAGACAUUUUCCCCGUUUUUUGAACUGUUGGACUUGAUUUUGUUUUUCAUCGAUUUAUAU